AGACUCCAGGAAUUGAAACUAUAUAAGCCUCUGUGGACGAAGUUUCCACAAACUCGCAUCCACGCGCUAGGAGAAUGUGGUGUACAGGAAUGCUGUACAGUAUAAACUCAUCCAAGUGUUAUACCAACAGACCCCUAAGGCGAUCUCCUCGAGUGUUCCAGCAAGAAAUGGAUGCAAGUGAGACAGAGUCGGACGAGGGGACGGCAGGUUGGAGGAUGCCACGGACAAAAGCAAGCCAAGGCUAGGGACAGAGCAGGGAGCCCAAGGAGGAAUAGUCCAGAUUUCGGGGAUCAGGGCUUCAAAGGUUGUGAGGUCGAACCUAGGCUGGUUGGUACAAGCGAAUUGCAAAGGGAAAAAAAGGGCAGACACGAAGACC
rnacentral:sRNA from 1 species